AGGAUUUCUACCAGAUGGUGUAUAUAAUCAUGAUACCAAGAUAUACUAUUGUUGUCAAACUGAUGGUAACUGGUAUGAUUUAAUUGAACUGCCAGUCAGUCAACCAUUUUAUUUACUAACAUCUAACUCUACUGACACUCCCAAAUGUCAGAUAGUGAAGUGGGCAUUUAGUUACUUGGAGUAUAUUGUGUUUGAUACAGAAGAUAGCAAUAAUACAGAUGCCCAGGGAGGGGAACAUUUGUUUCUGGAUGGAAGAAAGCUAUUCUAUUGUUACUAUGAAGGUACGUUAUAACUCAGUUCGUCCAUUGAACAUUCAAAUAACGCUUUCUACAAUCCGAACAAAAUUGCAUUUGAAUCUUAUAACAUGUACGGUAACUAAGAAAAAAGGUUUAAAUUGUACAUUUCAAUGUGUUCAAUUGUUUAAUAAUCUUUUAAUUUAUAACAUAUGCUAACAAUUUAAAUUAAACACUGUCUGAAUUGAUUGUGCAUGUAUUUUUGGGCAGAGCUCAUAUCUAAGCCUGAUAAUUGUUUAUAGUAUCAACCGGCUCAGGUUAAAAUUCUUUGGCUCUGAGAUUAUGAAAUUAUUAAAUAAAUUUGAGUCAGAACAAUGAAUGAUGACGUAGAAAACAGUGGGAUUUUCAAAAUAAUGAAACAACAAUGCAAGUAUGGAACAUUCCAAUUACUCACUGGAUCAUACUUUACUGCACAGUACUAAUAUUAUGAUAAAUGCUAUAUGCAAGCACAUUGCAUAAAUUUGAUUUUUAAGGUCCUUUGAUUUUCUUUAAUUCUAUUCCAGACUGCCGCCGUACAAUGACUGGUCUUAGUGGUUCAUUUAGAUCACAUAAGAUUGCAGUUAGUGAGACGGAUCCACGCUCGCAAUAUUGUUCCUGGUUAAUUACGCUUGCUGAAACAUACAUCGUUGCAUUGAGUUUUAAAGAGCUGACCAUACCAAGUUGUAAAGAUACAUUUCUAAGAAUAUAUGAUGGUUCAAAUAAUACAGCUCCAUUGCUUGGCACAUAUUGUGGUUCAAAUGCAAGAGCAGAAAUCGUGGUUUUAUCAUCCACAAAUAGUUUAUACAUUGUGUCAAAUUCUGGA